GACGAACGCUGGCGGCGUGCCUAAUACAUGCAAGUAGAACGCACAGUUUAUACCGUAGCUUGCUACACCAUAAACUGUGAGUUGCGAACGGGUGGGUAACGCGUAGGUAACCUGCCUGGUAGCGGGGGAUAACUAUUGGAAACGAUAGCUAAUACCGCAUAAUAUUAAUUAUUGCAUGAUAAUUGAUUGAAAGAUGCAAUUGCAUCACUACCAGAUGGACCUGCGUUGUAUUAGCUAGUAGGUGAGGUAACGGCUCACCUAGGCGACGAUACAUAGCCGACCUGGGAGGGUGAUCGGCCACACUGGGACUGAGACACGGCCCAGACUCCUACGGGAGGCAGCAGUAGGGAAUCUUCGGCAAUGGACGAAAGUCUGACCGAGCAACGCCGCGUGAGUGAAGAAGGUUUUCGGAUCGUAAAGCUCUGUUGUAAGAGAAGAACGGGUGUGAGAGUGGAAAGUUCACACUGUGACGGUAUCUUACCAGAAAGGGACGGCUAACUACGUG
rnacentral:rRNA from 1 species